GGGGAAUAUUGGACGAUGGGCGCAAGCCUGAUCCAGCCAUGCCGCGUGAGUGACGAAGGCCUUAGGGUUGUAAAGCUCUUUUGUCGGGGACGAUAAUGACGGUACCCGAAGAAUAAGCUCCGGCUAACUUCGUGCCAGCAGCCGCGGUAAUACGAAGGGAGCUAGCGUUGUUCGGAAUCACUGGGCGUAAAGCGCACGUAGGCGGAUCGCUAAGUCAGGGGUGAAAUCCCGGGGCUCAACCUCGGAACUGCCUUUGAUACUGGCGAUCUCGAGUCCGGAAGAGGUGAGUGGAAUUCCUAGUGGAGAGGUGAAAUUCGUAGAUAUUAGGAAGAACACCAGUGGCGAAGGCGGCUCACUGGUCCGGUACUGACGCUGAGGUGCGAAAGCGUGGGGAGCAAAC
rnacentral:rRNA from 1 species